GUGUCAGCAGCCGCGGUAAUACGGAGGGUGCAAGCGUUGUCCGGAAUCAUUGGGUGUAAAGGGUGCGUAGGCUGGCAUUUAAGUCUGGGGUGAAAUCUUACCGCUUAACGGUAAAAUGGCCUCAGAUACUGAAUGUCUUGAAUCUGACAGAGGUCGGUGGAAUUUGUGGUGUAGCGGUGAAAUGCAUAGAUAUCACGAAGAACAUCAGUGGCGAAGGCGGCCGGCUGGGUCAGUAUUGACGCUGAGGCACGAGAGCGUGGGGAGCGAACAGGAUUAGAUACCCUGGUAGUCCACGCUGUAAACGAUGUAUGCUAGUUGUUGGGCUUUCGGGCUCAGUGACGCAGUUAACGCAGUAAGCAUACCACCUGGGGAGUACGUUCGCAAGAAUGAA
rnacentral:rRNA from 1 species